UAGAGUUUGAUCAUGGCUCAGGAUAAACGCUGGCGGCGUGCUUAACACAUGCAAGUCGAGCGAAGCGUAUUAGCGGAAGUUUUCGGAUGGAAGCGGAUAUGACUUAGCGGCGGACGGGUGAGUAACGCGUGGAUAACCUGCCUCAUACAGGGGGAUAACAGUUAGAAAUGACUGCUAAUACCGCAUAAGCGCACAGGACCGCAUGGUCCGGUGUGAAAAACUCCGGUGGUAUGGGAUGGAUCCGCGUCUGAUUAGCUGGUUGGUGAGGUAACGGCCCACCAAGGCGACGAUCAGUAGCCGACCUGAGAGGGUGGCCGGCCACAUUGGGACUGAGACACGGCCCAAACUCCUACGGGAGGCAGCAGUGGGGAAUAUUGCACAAUGGGGGAAACCCUGAUGCAGCAACGCCGCGUGAGUGAAGAAGUAUUUCGGUAUGUAAAGCUCUAUCAGCAGGGAAGAAGAAAGACGGUACCUGACUAAGAAGCCCCGGCUAACUACGUGCCAGCAGCCGCGGUAAUACGUAGGGGGCAAGCGUUAUCCGGAUUUACUGGGUGUAAAGGGAGCGUAGACGGCUGUGCAAGUCUGAAGUGAAAGCCCGUGGCUCAACCGCGGAACUGCUUUGGAAACUGUAUAGCUUGAGUACUGGAGAGGCAGGCGGAAUUCCUAGUGUAGCGGUGAAAUGCGUAGAUAUUAGGAGGAACACCAGUGGCGAAGGCGGCCUGCUGGACAGAAACUGACGUUGAGGCUCGAAAGCGUGGGGAGCAAACAGGAUUAGAUACCCUGGUAGUCCACGC
rnacentral:rRNA from 1 species